GGAUUGGGACAUGCAGACCUGUGAGUCCAAAGCCCUUUCUAUCUUCAUGUGAUGACAGUCUGCCCACGUGACCCUGACCAGUUCAACUUGCAAUAAAUCAAGGGGAUGCUUUAAAGACUAGAACCUUACUGCUGCUGCUGCUGCUGCUGCUACUAUUUGAGCUCAGAUCAAGUCCCUGAACCAGUGAACCCGGAAGGAACCUGCUGGUGAAGAGGGAGCCCAGACAGAGGAGAAGCAAGAGACGGACUUGGUGGAGUCUGUUUGGAACCUACUCUCUCAAGGGCUACAGUGGAGCUUAUGCAUGUGGCUUUGGGGAAACGGAACCCUCCGUUGGCCUUUGGAAUUCAGGAUGUGCACAGGCAUAGUCAACACUCACUCCUGUGUAGCUUGGUAGUGAUAAUGCUUCUGUCUCUCCUCUGCUCAGGGAGCUCUGUGGUAACAGAAGAUGAAGCAUGGUGAGAUACUGUGGUCCUUUCAUUUGUGUUGGAUGGAAGAUGCCCCUGUCAGCUGAGGAUCCUCAGCAAAGGGGUUAGAAGGGAGCAGAGAGAAGACACGCCUACAAAGGCCUUGCCAUUAAGCAUAGAGGAUGAUGGAGUGAACGGUAGUCCAAUUCUAACAUUGAUGUGGAGGGCCAUACCUUCCCAUGGGAUUCUGCCUUGUUAAAGUCAGGGCACUGGUAAAUUCUCUGAGGAAC
ensembl:antisense Gm12119 predicted gene 12119